rnacentral:rRNA from 1 species
AGAGUUUGAGUCCUGGCUCAGGGAUGAACGCUGGCGGCGUGCUUAACACAUGCAAGUCGAACGAGGAUACCGGGAUGAAGUUUUCGGAUGGAUUCCGGGUCUCCGAGUGGCGGACGGGUGAGUAACGCGUGGGUAACCUGCCUCAUACAGGGGGAUAACAGUUAGAAAUGACUGUUAAUACCGCAUAAGACCACAGCACCGCAUGGUGCAGGGGUAAAAACUCCGGUGGUAUGAGAUGGACCCGCGUUCGAUUAGCCGGUUGGCGGGGUAACGGCCCACCAAAGCAACGAUCGAUAGCCGACCUGAGAGGGUGAUCGGCCACAUUGGGACUGAGACACGGCCCAAACUCCUACGGGAGGCAGCAGUGGGGAAUAUUGCACAAUGGGGAAACCCUGAUGCAGCGACGCCGCGUGAGUGAAGAAGUAUUUCGGUAUGUAAAGCUCUAUCAGCAGGGAAGAAGAUGACGGUACCUGAGUAAGAAGCCCGGCUAACUACGUGCC